rnacentral:rRNA from 1 species
UGGGGAAUAUUGCGCAAUGGGCGAAAGCCUGACGCAGCCAUGCCGCGUGUGUGAAGAAGGCUCUAGGGUUGUAAAGCACUUUCAGUGGGGAAGAAGGCCUGUAGAUUAACACUCUGCAGGAUUGACAUUACCCACAGAAGAAGCACCGGCUAACUCCGUGCCAGCAGCCGCGGUAAUACGGAGGGUGCAAGCGUUAAUCGGAAUUACUGGGCGUAAAGCGCGCGUAGGUGGUUUGGUCAGUUGGAUGUGAAAGCCCCGGGCUCAACCUGGGAACUGCAUUCAAUACUGCCAGACUAGAGUAUGAGAGAGGGGGGUAGAAUUCCUAGUGUAGCGGUGAAAUGCGUAGAUAUUAGGAGGAAUACCAGUGGCGAAGGCGGCCCCCUGGCUUAAUACUGACGCUGAGGUGCGAAAGCGUGGGGAGCGAACA